ACUGGGUUCGUAUGGUACAUAGAUGCAUUAGCAACUCUAGCACCAUUAGAAUUCAGUUC
rnacentral:pre_miRNA from 1 species